rnacentral:rRNA from 1 species
GUAGGUGGCAAGCGUUGUCCGGAUUUAUUGGGCGUAAAGCGAGCGCAGGCGGAAAAAUAAGUCUGAUGUGAAAGCCCUCGGCUUAACCGAGGAACUGCAUCGGAAACUGUUUUUCUUGAGUGCAGAAGAGGAGAGUGGAACUCCAAGUGUAGCGGUGGAAUGCGUAGAUAUAUGGAAGAACACCAGUGGCGAAGGCGGCUCUCUGGUCUGCAACUGACGCUGAGGCUCGAAAGCAUGGGUAGCGAACAGGAUUAGAUACCCUGGUAGUCCAUGCCGUAAACGAUGAGUGCUAAGUGUUGGGAGGUUUCCGCCUCUCAGUGCUGCAGCUAACGCAUUAAGCACUCCGCCUGGGGAGUACGACCGCAAGGUUG